UACGUAGGGGCCAAGCGUUGUCCGGAUUUAUUGGGCGUAAAGAGCUCGUAGGCGGUCUGUCGCGUCUGCUGUGAAAACUCAGGGCUUAACCCUGAGCUUGCAGUGGGAACGGGCAGACUAGAGUGCGGUAGGGGAGACUGGAAUUCCUGGUGUAGCGGUGAAAUGCGCAGAUAUCAGGAGGAACACCGGUGGCGAAGGCGGGUCUCUGGGCCGAUACUGACGCUGAGGAGCGAAAGCGUGGGGAGCGAACAGG
rnacentral:rRNA from 1 species